rnacentral:rRNA from 1 species
GUGGGGAAUCUUGCGCAAUGGGGGAAACCCUGAUCUAGCCAUGCCGCGUGAGCGAUGAAGGCCUUAGGGUUGUAAAGCUCUUUCAGCUGGGAAGAUAAUGACGGUACCAGCAGAAGAAGCCCCGGCUAACUCCGUGCCAGCAGCCGCGGUAAUACGGAGGGGGCUAGCGUUGUUCGGAAUUACUGGGCGUAAAGCGCACGUAGGCGGAUUGAAAAGUUGGGGGUGAAAUCCCGGGGCUCAACCUUGGAACUGCCUUCAAAACUCCUGGUCUGGAGUUCGAGAGAGGUGAGUGGAAUUCCGAGUGUAGAGGUGAAAUUCGUAGAUAUUCGGAGGAACACCAGUGGCGAAGGCGGCUCACUGGCUCGAUACUGACGCUGAGGUGCGAAAGCGUGGGGAGCAAACAGGAUUAGAUACCCCGGUAGUCC